CGGCAAGAGCUCAAAUUUGAAAGCUGGCUCCUUCGGGGUCCGCAUUGUAAUUUGCAGAGGAUGCUUCGGGAGUGGCCCCCAUCUAAGUGCCCUGGAACGGGCCGUCAUAGAGGGUGAGAAUCCCGUCU
rnacentral:rRNA from 1 species